CUCCCGAGUAUCUGGGACUACUGGUGCACGCCACUAUGCCCAGCUAAUUUUUUAUUAUUAUUAUUUUUAGUAGAGACAGGGUUUCACCAUGUUGGCCAGGCUGAUCUCAAACUCCUGACCUCAGGUGAUCCACCCUCCUUGGCCUCCGAAAGUGUUGGGAUUACAGGUGGGAGCCACCGCCUCCAGUCGUUACUUGGACAAUUUCUAAUAAAAUCACAAAUCCACAUACCUAUCGGACUAGAAAUCUCAUUUUGAGGAUCUAUUCUACAGAUAGAAAACAAGCAGUGUUUAGAUGCAAAACAAACAAUGAUUUUAAUGGCAAAAGGAGGUAAAAUUGUCAAAGGGAAAUUUUCCACUUACACUUGCCCCAGAAGAUGACAACAUAAAAUUAGAUAUUUCAUUCCAACUGAUUGAGAAAGAACCAUGAAAUUGAGUGACCCUAAGAAGACAGACCUAACAGAACUACUGGAAGAUCUUUGCUGACCAGUGAACAAUGGAAGAGACACAUGGACUCAUUCAACCCUUAAUUAGCAUCCUAGCCUGAACUCUCCCUUUCCUAGCACUCAAACCCUCCUAACUUUUCCCCUCUGCAAAGUUCUCAGUGGAUGUAUUCACUGACGUGUACUCCUUGCCAGGCACUUUAAUAAACGUUUUAUUUUUUUCAAUGCUCUUGUGGUUUUUGUCUUAUUAUUUGGCCAGAAAAAUUAAACCACAUGAGUUAUGAUUUGGACAUGCUAAAUUGUAUUGCCCACAGGAUGUGUCCUGGAAUGAGGCCAGCAGGCAGUUUCAGGUCUGUACCCAAAGCUUGGCUUAGGUGUUUGGGAAGAAGUAGAUCAAGAAGCCACCAGCAAAGAGGUGUUAGUUGAAGCCAAAGAUAG
rnacentral:lncRNA from 1 species